ACGCUGGCGGCGUGCCUAAUACAUGCAAGUCGAACGGUCUUUCUAUGGAAGCUUGCUUCCACUGAGAAGAUAGUGGCGAACGGGUGAGUAACACGUGGGUAACCUGCCCAUAAGAGGGGGGAUAGCAUCCGGAAACGGGUGCUAAUACCGCAUAGUUUUCUUGAUCGCAUGAUUGAGAAAGGAAAGACGGCCUUUGUGCUGUCGCUUAUGGAUGGACCCGCGGCGUAUUAGUUAGUUGGUGAGGUAACGGCUCACCAAGACGAUGAUACGUAGCCGACCUGAGAGGGUGAUCGGCCACAUUGGGACUGAGACACGGCCCAAACUCCUACGGGAGGCAGCAGUAGGGAAUCUUCCGCAAUGGACGAAAGUCUGACGGAGCAACGCCGCGUGAGUGAAAGAAGGUUUUCGGAUCGUAAAACUCUGUUGUCAGAGAAGAACAAGUUGGAGAGUAACUGCUCCAGCCUUGACGGUAUCUGACCAGAAAGCCACGGCUAACUACGUGCCAGCCGCCGC
rnacentral:rRNA from 1 species